rnacentral:tRNA from 1 species
GGGGAUGUGGCUCAAAGGUAGAGCGCUUGCCUACCAUGCAUGAGGCCCUGGGUUUGAUCCUCAGUACCACA